rnacentral:lncRNA from 1 species
AGAUAAAUCAAUGGACUUUUAAAAUUCCAGUUUUACUACUAUGUGGAAUUCACUACAAUGGAGUUGAGGAGAUGGUUUCAAGAGAAGAUGAAAUAAUUGGAGUAAGACCAACUGGAUCAAGCCUAAGUCUGGAUAAGAAGCUCAUGGGGGAGCCCAGGAGUCUGCUGAGAGCACCUGCAAACCGACAUUUGGGUGAAUCUGUUUCACUGUACCACUGGCUGCUCCUCAUGAAUCUCCGCCUGGUGUACUCCUCAUCUGCUUGGGCCUCCACACCCAGCUGCUCAUUUCAACUAAAAGGAGCUGGUACCUUCAGGUAGACCAGCUCUAGUUGCUGAUGGGGCCACUUACUGUUUGUUUAUUCUCUGCAAGUUACUUUGAUUCUCUCAGCUUUAGUUUUUCUUGUCAAAUGGGACUUGUUUUGAAGUUCAUUCAAGUGAUUUUUGAAAAGCACCCAACGGUCCUAGUCCUGUCAUCUGCAAGGGAGUGACUAAAAGAACAACUCUGAGGACAGACAGCCUGAUGAUUGGUGAAGUGAAUGUGAGCAGGUUACUUCACCUUCCUAGGCCUCAGUUUCCUCAUUUGCAACUUGUGACUAAUAAAGAUGCUAUCCCUUGGAGUAGUUGUCAAGAUUAAAUGUGUCAAAAUAUGUGAAAUGCUGGGGACAUAGCUCAGUUGGUAGAGUGCUUGCCUUGCAUGCACAAGGCCCUGGGUUCUAAUACCCAGCACCACCACAAAAAAAAAAAAAAAAGUCAAUAUGUGUGAAGUGGCAAAAAAUCUACUUGGUAAGUGGUAUAAAAGUGCCCUUUCUCAUUGCUAAGCUGAUGGGGUUGGCUCUGGUUAGUUUUCACUCAGCGUAGCCUUCACUGAACCUGCUAAGGGCAAAGUCCAUUUUGUUCAAUUCGGGCAACACAAAGAUAAGCAAUGACCUAGCAAUUUGGGGUCUCCUGGGGUCUCCACAUACGGACAGAAGCCAAGGGAAAAGGUUCUUUCCCUCCAUGAGACUGCGUUGUCCUCCUUGUACCAGAGGCACAGGGAGGGAAGCUCUUGGGUACCCUCCCCACUGGUUUGCUGUUUGCUUCUUGAAUGCACAUGUUAAUUGAAAUCACAGCUCUGAGGGGGGUUCACAGCUCUGAGGGGGGUUCACAGCCCCAGGGGCAUCCCUAAAUCUCUGGCUAGCAAGUGGGAGGCCUGAGCCGGGAGGACCUGCAUCUAGUCUGCUAGUCAGUGGCUUGGAGACACCAACUCCUCGAGGGGCUUGUGGUCUGAAGCACACAGACCCCCAGGAGCUAAAUACCCCAGGAGUGAGUGGCUCAUAGUAUGAGUAGGGGUGAGAGGCAGAAGAAACCACAGUGACACAUUGAAAGAUUCCUUGCUGACCUCAGGUUGUCACACAAGAUGAAGCAGCGCUGCAGGCUUUCCACCAGGUGUGGUGGCAGUGUGUGCUGGUGUACGCACACGCAUGCGUACACUCGUGCUAUAAUGACCUCCACGGAAACCUCCUCUGCCAUCCUUCCCAUCCACACAGUUGGAGCAAUUAGGUAGGACUUGGGUGGAAUGAUUCAUGCUUCAAUAAAUUCAAUUUCAACAAAACAUAAUUAUGGUGAGUCACCUAAUCGCAGCUGUAAUCAUGGCCCACCCCUCCAGAAGUCAAAACAGUUGAGGGCAUUCAGCAAGGACAGCUGAGCCCUCAGGAUGACUGAAGCCUCCACCUUUUGCCAAGCAGCCAUUUUUGGGACUCCAAUUUCUUUCUAAUUUUUCAAAUUACAGAAUAUUUCAGGCAUACAUAAGGGUGCAAUGAAUAGUCUGGCGAGUGCUGUGUAUACACUAAUUGCCGUAGAAAUAAACAUUGCAAAUAUGGUUCCCAUUUCCCAGUUUUCUCAAGAGACACAGCAGUAUUUGAUUUUGGUAUUUAUCAUUCUCACAACUGCCUUUAUAGGGCUACNUAAGCAAUGACCUAGCAAUUUGGGGUCUCCUGGGGUCUCCACAUACGGACAGAAGCCAAGGGAAAAGGUUCUUUCCCUCCAUGAGACUGCGUUGUCCUCCUUGUACCAGAGGCACAGGGAGGGAAGCUCUUGGGUACCCUCCCCACUGGUUUGCUGUUUGCUUCUUGAAUGCACAUGUUAAUUGAAAUCACAGCUCUGAGGGGGGUUCACAGCUCUGAGGGGGGUUCACAGCCCCAGGGGCAUCCCUAAAUCUCUGGCUAGCAAGUGGGAGGCCUGAGCCGGGAGGACCUGCAUCUAGUCUGCUAGUCAGUGGCUUGGAGACACCAACUCCUUGAGGGGCUUGUGGUCUGAAGCACACAGACCCCCAGGAGCUAAAUACCCCAGGAGUGAGUGGCUCAUAGUAUGAGUAGGGGUGAGAGGCAGAAGAAACCACAGUGACACAUUGAAAGAUUCCUUGCUGACCUCAGGUUGUCACACAAGAUGAAGCAGCGCUGCAGGCUUUCCACCAGGUGUGGUGGCAGUGUGUGCUGGUGU